UACGUAGGGGGCAAGCGUUGUCCGGAUUUAUUGGGCGUAAAGAGCGUGUAGGCGGUUCGGUAGGUCCGUUGUGAAAACUCGAGGCUCAACCUCGAGACGCCGAUGGAAACCACCGAACUAGAGUCCGGAAGAGGAGAGUGGAAUUCCUGGUGUAGCGGUGAAAUGCGCAGAUAUCAGGAAGAACACCCGUGGCUAAGGCGGCUCUCUAGUACGGUACUGACGCUGAGACGCGAAAGCGUGGGGAGCGAACAGGAUUAGAAACCCGUGUAGUCC
rnacentral:rRNA from 1 species